rnacentral:rRNA from 1 species
AUGAACCGGCGAGUUGCGUUAGUCAGCAAGGUUAAGUCAGAAAAGACGGAGCCGUAGCGAAAGCGAGUCUGAAGAGGGCGAGCAGUUGGCUGACGCAGACCCGAAACCAAGUGACCUACCCAUGACCAGGUUGAAGGCGCGGUAAAACGCGCUGGAGGACCGAACCCACGUAAGUUGAAAAUUGCGGGGAUGAGUUGUGGGUAGCGGUGAAAUUCCAAACGAACUUGGAGAUAGCUGGUUCUCUCCGAAAUAGCUUUAGGGCUAGCCUCGCAAAGAGGAUGCUGGAGGUAGAGCUCUGUUUGGACUAGGGGCCCGUCAAGGGUUACUGAAUUCAGAUAAACU